rnacentral:tRNA from 1 species
AGAAUAUUUAAGUAAAAAGGAAACUUCUAACUUCCUAUAAAGCGGUUAAACUCCGUUUAUAUUCUA